rnacentral:rRNA from 1 species
GAGUUUGAUCCUGGUUCAGGACGAACGCUGGCGGCGUGCCUAAUACAUGCAAGUCGAACGCAUCCCGCUGAAUUGAAGUGCUUGCACUGAUUUUCAGCAUUGGAUGAGUGGCGAACUGGUGAGUAACACGUGGGUAACCUGCCCGGAAGCAGGGGAUAACACUUGGAAACAGGUGCUAAUACCGUAUAACAACUGAAACCGCAUGGUUUCAGUUUGAAAGAUGGUUUCGGCUAUCACUUCUGGAUGGACCCGCGGCGUAUUAGCUAGUUGGUGGAGUAAUGGUUCACCAAGGCAAUGAUACGUAGCCGACCUGAGAGGGUAAUCGGCCACAUUGGGACUGAGACACGGCCCAAACUCCUACGGGAGGCAGCAGUAGGGAAUCUUCCACAAUGGACGAAAGUCUGAUGGAGCAACGCCGCGUGAGUGAAGAAGGGUUUCGGCUCGUAAAACUCUGUUGUUGAAGAAGAACACAUCUGAGAGUAACUGUUCAGGUGUUGACGGUAUUUAACCAGAAAGCCACGGCUAACUACGUGCCAGCAGCCGCGGUAAUACGUAGGUGGCAAGCGUUGUCCGGAUUUAUUGGGCGUAAAGCGAGCGCAGGCGGUUUCUUAAGUCUGAUGUGAAAGCCUUCGGCUUAACCGGAGAAGUGCAUCGGAAACUGGGAGACUUGAGUGCAGA